rnacentral:rRNA from 1 species
UACGUAGGCAGCGAGCGUUGUUCGGAGUUACUGGGCGUAAAGCGUGCGUAGGCGGGUUUGUAAGUUUGGUGGGAAAUCUCCCGGCUCAACUGGGAGGGUGCGCCGAAAACUGCAAGGCUGGAGUGUGGGAGAGGUAGGCGGAAUUCCUGGUGUAGCGGUGAAAUGCGUAGAUAUCAGGAGGAACACCUGUGGUGUAGACGGCUUACUGGACCAUGACUGACGCUGAGGCACGAAAGCGUGGGGAGCAAACAGG